rnacentral:rRNA from 1 species
CCCUUAGACGUUCUGGGCCGCACGCGCGCUACACUGACCAGUGCAACAAGCAUCCGUCCUUGGCCGACAGGCCCGGGCAAUCUUUGAACGCUGGUCGUGAUGGGGAUAGACUUUUGCAAUUUUUGGUCUUCAACGAGGAAUUCCUAGUAAACGCAAGUCAUCAACUUGCAUUGAUUACGUCCCUGCCCUUUGUACACACCGCCCGUCGCACCUACCGAUUGAAUGGUCCGGUGAAGCCUCGGGACGGCGGCUUGGUCGCUUGCGUCCGACUGCUGAAACUUGAUUAAACCAUAUCAUUUAGAGGAAGGUGAAGUCGUAACA